rnacentral:ncRNA from 1 species
AACCGCCGUAUGCCGAACGGCAUGUACGGUGGUGUGAGAGGUCGGUAUGUGAACUAAUCACCUACCGCCUACUCGAU